rnacentral:lncRNA from 1 species
ACGGUUCUAUCCUUCUCAUCUCAACCACAGGCAAAACAUCACACAAAUAUGUGUUAUCCCUGGAUCACGCUGCUUCUGUUCCUGUCAGGAGGGAGGGCGUUCAUGAUCCACAACACCAAGCGCAGCCUGUGCCUGGAGGACUCGGCGUCCACGGGGGAGGUCCUCCUGAGGACGUGCGACCUGGCCUCGCCGGCCCAACAGUGGGUCUGGCUGCACGAGGGCGCGCUGAUGAGCGUGGCGUCCUCCAGGUGUCUGUCGGCGCAGCACGCGACCGCGGUCCGGACGCGGCCGUGCCAGGGGCCGGGGGCGGAGGCCGCGGCCUUGGCGUGGGACUGCGACGCCAACAAGCUGAUCAGCAGGAGCACGUCCGCGGUGCUGUCGGCGGACGGCCGCCGCCCGACUCUGGGCCGCGUCGGUAGAUACUCGAAGUGGAGGUCUCUGGAGGAGGGAGACAUCUGCCAGGACCGACUCAGACUGAAGAGGGCGUCGGACGAGCCCGACGAGUUUGAGGCCGCACCGGAGCAGAGAGGCGCCGUGGCGGCCAUGACAGAGGAGCAGAGAGAGUACCUGCUGUGGUUGUACCGCACGGAGGAUCCAACCGUAUGGAAUUUGGUGCUUCUGGGAGUGUCCUUCAUCUUCCUCCUUGUUGGUUUCCUACUUCUGGGAAUGGGAGUCAUGGCCAGCAAGAACAGAAAGAAGAUAGCCAAGUACAAGGCGGCCGCGUCUCUGACUCACAGGAGUGAAGGCGAGGCGCUGAAGAUGCUCGCAGGCAACAACUGCAGCAAAGCGCCGGCCUCGCCCUCGGCCCGCGGGCUUCAGCACGGAAACAGCCUCCCCGCGGGCGACGGCCGGAUAGGCGAGCUCCAGGCGGGAAACAUCGUUGUCCUGUGGAAAGACGGCAGCACCUCCUGUCUGUACUCAGACCCCUCGGAGCCGGCGGAGAAGCAAGCGGGAGGCGAAGGAGAGGAGAAGCAGGAGGAGGAGGAGGAGGAGGAGGUGACGGCGGCGGAGGCUGAGGACGAUGGAGCGAAGGCGACGGAGUAGGAAGAAUGCAGCAUGUGAAUAACCCCACUCGCUGCUGUUUUAGCACAGUGCUAACAUCAGCAGCCCUGAUUGUUGAUACUGUGACGCACUGGAUCUUAUUAGGGUGACAAUAAAUUUGUUCAAAUGUGUUCA